UACAGAGGUCCCAAGCGUUGUUCGGAAUCACUGGGCGUAAAGGGUGCGUAGGCCGCACGGUAAGUCAGAGGUGAAAUCCCGGGGCUCAACCUCGGAAUUGCCUCCGAUACUGCCGUGCUUGAGGACUGGAGAGGAGAUUGGAAUUCACAGUGGAGCAGUGAAAUGCGUAGAUAUUGUGAGGAACACUAGUGGCGAAGGCGAAUCUCUGGACAGUUACUGACGCUGAGGCACGAAGGCCAGGGGAGCAAACGGG
rnacentral:rRNA from 1 species